CCUAAAAGAUCGAAUGAGGAGAUUCAUCGUCAACGUAUUUGGUAUAUUUGCAAGUUAUGAUAUAAAUUUAUCCCCUGUGUUAAUAUUUAUACUUGCUUGUAUAAUUUUAUUGCUGAAUGUCGUCGGCGUGCACUUCUCCUCUAGUAGAACGUUGCGACCCGUUAAGUGUCGGUCUACGGCCCAGAUGGUAGUCUCUGAUGCUAUUUAGGUAUUAAAGACCACUGGUGUCAUCCUGAUCGUCUACUUGACGGUAUAGAAUAUGGUAUUGGGCCGCAAAAUUAUUUUUGCGUUAAACCCACCACAAGCAUAAUUGUUAUUAUUAUCUAGUAGUGCGGACCUGGUGCCGUCGCUGGAGUCAAUUUGCUGUUAGUUGGUUGGUGUUCUUUAACUGGCUCUCAUAAUAAUAUAAUACCGGUCAGCGAUGCUACUGCUUUAGGUACUUUCAGGACCCGUCUUGAAACACGGACCAAGGAGUCAUUCUAUGUACGCGAGUCAUUGGGAUUUAUUUUUAUAAAACAAACCUAAAGGCGUAAUGAAAAUAAAGGUUGGCUUUAAUGUCGACUAAGGGAGGAUGAGUUAUAUCAUGAUGUAAUUCCGCACUCCCGGGGUAUCUCAUUCACAUUAUGCGAAGAGGUGCACCUAG
rnacentral:rRNA from 1 species